rnacentral:rRNA from 1 species
GUUGUAUGGUUAAGUGACUAAGCGUACACGGUGGAUGCCUGGGCAGUCAGAGGCGAUGAAGGACGUACUAACUUGCGAUAAGCGCAGAUAAGGCAGUAAGAGCCGUUUGAGUCUGCGAUUUCCGAAUGGGGAAACCCAACUGCAUAAGCAGUUACUGUUAACUGAAUACAUAGGUUAACAGAGCAAACCGGGGGAACUGAAACAUCUAAGUACCCCGAGGAGAAGAAAUCAACCGAGAUUCCGGUAGUAGCGGCGAGCGAACCUGGAUUAGCCCUUAAGCACUCGGUGAAGUAGGUGAACAAGCUGGAAAGCUUGGCGAUACAGGGUGAUAGCCCCGUAACCGACGCUUCAUCGAGCGUGAAAUCGAGUAGGGCGGGACACGUGAUAUCCUGUCUGAAUAUGGGGGGACCAUCCUCCAAGGCUAAAUACUCCUGACUGACCGAUAGUGAACCAGUACCGUGAGGGAAAGGCGAAAAGAACCCCUGUGAGGGGAGUGAAAUAGAACCUGAAACCGUGUACGUACAAGCAGUAGGAGCACCUUCGUGGUGUGACUGCGUACCUUUUGUAUAAUGGGUCAGCGACUUAUAUUCAGUGGCAAGGUUAACCGUAUAGGGGAGCCGUAGCGAAAGCGAGUCUUAACUGGGCGUUCAGUCUCUGGAUAUAGACCCGAAACCGGGUGAUCUAGCCAUGGGCAGGUUGAAGGUUGAGUAACAUCAACUGGAGGACCGAACCGACUAAUGUUGAAAAAUUAGCGGAUGACUUGUGGCUAGGGGUGAAAGGCCAAUCAAACUCGGAGAUAGCUGGUUCUCCCCGAAAGCUAUUUAGGUAGCGCCUCGGACGAAUACUACUGGGGGUAGAGCACUGUUAAGGCUAGGGGGUCAUCCCGACUUACCAACCCUUUGCAAACUCCGAAUACCAGUAAGUACUAUCCGGGAGACACACGGCGGGUGCUAACGUCCGUCGUGGAGAGGGAAACAACCCAGACCGCCAGCUAAGGUCCCAAAGUAUUGCUAAGUGGGAAACGAUGUGGGAAGGCUCAGACAGCUAGGAUGUUGGCUUAGAAGCAGCCAUCAUUUAAAGAAAGCGUAAUAGCUCACUAGUCGAGUCGGCCUGCGCGGAAGAUGUAACGGGGCUAAGCA